AAUAGUGAUCUCCAUUGAAAAGGAGUCAUAAGGCAAGGAAUCCGGAUCCUCAAGCGGACAAGCCGGUGGAGACACGCGUUGAAAGGAGCGCUCUAAAGGUGAUGCUCGUUUGUUGUGGAUGUUGAUCAAGCAAUGGAAUCAAGAACCGAACACAAGUUUUGAAUGCUUCCGCUAA